rnacentral:rRNA from 1 species
CCCCUAGAUGUUCUGGGCCGCACGCGCGCUACACUGAACAGUUCAACAAGUCUUAACCUUGGCCGAUAGGUCUGGGUAAUCUUUGAACGCUGUUCGUGAUUGGGAUAGACCUUUGCAAUUAUGGGUCUUCAACGAGGAAUUCCUAGUAAACGCAAGUCAUCAGCUUGCAUUGAUUACGUCCCUGCCCUUUGUACACACCGCCCGUCGUACCUACCGAUUGAAUGGUCCGGUGAAAUCUCGGGACGGCGGCUUGGUCGCUUGCGUCCGACUGCUGAAACUUGAUUAAACCAUNUNAUUUAGNGGAAGGUGAANUCGUANCA